rnacentral:lncRNA from 1 species
ACUCACACUCACUUCCCUGCACAUCCAUCAAUCUGCUCACACUAACUCCCUCACACACCCAUCGAUCCGCUCACACUCACUUCCCUGCACACCCAUUGAUCCACUCACACUCACUCCCCUGCACACCCACAGAUCCACUCACACUCACUUCCCUGCACACCCAUUGAUCCGCUCACACUCACUCCCCUGUACAACCACAGAUCUGCUCACACUCACUCCCCCUGCACGCCCACAGAUCCACUCACACUCACUCCCCGCACACCCAUCAUUCCGCUCACACUCACUCCCCUGCACACCCACAGAUCCACUCACACUCACUCCCCUGCACACGCAUCGAUCCGCUCACACUCACUCCCCUGCACACCCACAGAUCCACUCACACUCACUCCCCCGCACACCCAUCGAUCCGCUCACAUUCACUCCCCCGCACACCCACAGAUCCACUCACACUCACUCCCCUGCACACCCAUCGAUCCGCUCACACUCACUCCCCUGCACACCCACAGAUCCACUCACACUCACUCCCCCGCACACCCACAGAUCCACUCACACUCACUCCCCCGCACACCCACAGAUCCACUCACACUCACUCCCCCGCACACCCACAGAUCCACUCACACUCACUCCCCCGCACACCCAUCGAUCCACUCACACUCACUCCCCCGCACACCCACAGAUCCACUCACACUCACUCCCCAGCACACCCAUCGAUCCGCUCACAUACACUCCUCUGCACACCUAUCAAUCCGCUCACACACACUCCCACACACAGCCACAGAUCCACUCACACUCACUCCCCUGCACACCCAUCGAUCCGCUCACACUCAUGCCUGCACACCCAUAGGUCCGCUCACACUCACUCCUCCGCACACCCACAGAUAUGCUCACACACUCCCGCACACCCAUCUAUCCGCUCACAUUCAUUCCCCCAUAUACCCACAGAUCCGCUCACAUUCACUCCCCCGCACACNUCCCCUGCACACCCAUCGAUCCGCUCACACUCAUGCCUGCACACCCAUAGGUCCGCUCACACUCACUCCUCCGCACACCCACAGAUAUGCUCACACACCCCCGCACACCCAUCGAUCCGCUCACAUUCAUUCCCCC